rnacentral:rRNA from 1 species
UACGGGGGGAGCAAGCGUUGUUCGGAUUUACUGGGCGUAAAGGGCGCGUAGGCGGCCUGUGCAAGUCAGUUGUGAAAUCUCCGAGCUUAACUCGGAACGGUCAACUGAUACUGCUCGGCUAGAGUGCGGAAGGGGCAACUGGAAUUCUUGGUGUAGCGGUGAAAUGCGUAGAUAUCAAGAGGAACACCUGCGGCGAAGGCGGGUUGCUGGGCCGACACUGACGCUGAGGCGCGAAAGCGUGGGGAGCGAACAGG